GACGGACGCUGGCGGCGUGCUUAACACAUGCAAGUCGAACGGUAAGGCCCUUCGGGGUACACGAGUGGCGAACGGGUGAGUAACACGUGGGUGAUCUGCCCUGCACUUCGGGAUAAGCCUGGGAAACUGGGUCUAAUACCGGAUAGGACCACUGCCUGCAUGGGUGGUGGUGGAAAGCUUUUGCGGUGUGGGAUGGGCCCGCGGCCUAUCAGCUUGUUGGUGGGGUGAUGGCCUACCAAGGCGACGACGGGUAGCCGGCCUGAGAGGGUGACCGGCCACACUGGGACUGAGAUACGGCCCAGACUCCUACGGGAGGCAGCAGUGGGGAAUAUUGCACAAUGGGCGCAAGCCUGAUGCAGCGACGCCGCGGGAGGGAUGACGGCCUUCGGGUUGUAAACCUCUUUCAGCACCGACGAAGCGCAAGUGACGGUAGGUGCAGAAGAAGGACCGGCCAACUACGUGCCAGCAGCCGCCGUAA
rnacentral:rRNA from 1 species